rnacentral:rRNA from 1 species
GACGAACGCUGGCGGCGUGCUUAACACAUGCAAGUCGAACGGAGUGGCGCACGAGUGAGUAUUACGUUAGUAACCUGCCCUCAGCUGUGGGAUACGCCUGGGAAACUGGGUCUAAUACUGCAUAGUUGGGGAGGGGCUCGCGGCCUAUCGGCUUGUUGGUGGGGUGAUGGCCUACCAAGGCGGUGAAGGGUAGCCGGCCUGCGAGGGUGGUCGGCCACAUUGGGACUGAGUUACGGCCCAGACGCCUACGGGAGGCAGGAGGGGGGGAUAUUGCACAAGGGGCGGAAGCCUGAUGCAGCGACGCCGCGUGGGGGAUGAAGGCUUUCGGGUUGUAAACUCCUUUCGACAGGGACGCGGUACCUGUAUAAGAAGCACCGGCUAACUACGUGCCAGCAGCCGCGGUAAUAC